CCGCAAGAGGCUGGCUCGGCGCCAGCGGGGCAGCAUGGCCGGAUGACAUCGCAGCCAUCGGAAGCGCCAGCGCAACGGCUGCGAUCGCGCAUCCAUUCCUAAAAGUGAUCAUCUUCCUCACUCCAAAGCCCGCAUCGAUCACUCUGCAUCGGGGGCCGCGCGGAAUGCGCGGCUCCAUGCAGAAGAGAGCAAUGUUGGUGUGGAUUCUGGGGCGGUUCCAUUUACGGAACAUCGCCCCAGAGGCCGGACGUCAGGUUUCGCGACCGCU
rnacentral:misc_RNA from 1 species